rnacentral:rRNA from 1 species
AGUGAACGCUGGCGGUAGGCCUAACACAUGCAAGUCGAACGGCAGCACAGUAAGAGCUUGCUCUUACGGGUGGCGAGUGGCGGACGGGUGAGGAAUACAUCGGAAUCUACUUUUUCGUGGGGGAUAACGUAGGGAAACUUACGCUAAUACCGCAUACGACCUACGGGUGAAAGCAGGGGAUCUUCGGACCUUGCGCGAUUGAAUGAGCCGAUGUCGGAUUAGCUAGUUGGCGGGGGAAAGGGCCACCAAGGCGACGAUCCGUAGCUGGUCUGAGAGGAUGAUCAGCCACACUGGAACUGAGACACGGUCCAGGCUCCUACGGGAGGCAGCAGUGGGGAAUAUUGGACAAUGGGCGCAAGCCUGAUCCAGCCAUACCGCGUGGGUGAAGAAGGCCUUCGGGUUGUAAAGCCCUUUUGUUGGGAAAGAAAAGCAGCAGAUUAAUACCCCGCUGUUCUGACGGUACCCAAAGAAUAAGCACCGGCUAACUUCGUG